GGCAGUGUUGCCAACUCCUCAGUAAGGAAAAUAGCUAUUGGCUCUCCUAAAAGUUGCUAAAUGACGUAAUCGCCUAAUUUGCAUAGUUGACCAUGUGAAUGUAAUUGUGAUGGUCGCUGUAGGAGAGAGAAAUAACAUCGUGGGAGAGACAAAAAUGUACUUGCAGAAGGAGUUGUGUUCUGUUGGCACGGUGGGCUUCUUCUGCUGCGAUGUUGCAUGCAAAUACUGGCCAUAUUUGCAGAAGUCAUGCAGGCAUGCCCAGAGUUGGAGGAGCUUCUAAAAAUGCACCCUCUCCAUCAUGCAUGCGAAGGCGCAUACCUCUUGUGAGCUCAAAUGGGGAGGCCACAAUCAGCCUGGUACCAGCAACACAACCAGAGAAGGAAGUCAAGCAGGAUGUCAAUGAUGCUGUGCUUCAGGAGUGAGUUGCUGAGGUGCAGCAGUGGCCUGAAGCAGGAGAGGUAAAAUGCCGCCACCACCUGCUUCAGGAGCAGCCUGGUCUCCUGAGGUUGACACCUGACCCCUCACCUCUGAACCUAUCCAGGGAAAUAUGAUUUGCCUGAUGACACUCUAGUUGAAAUUUCGGCACAUUUGUUGCCAUGUUUCCUCACCUCCAUUUCUUCCGGUCCUAGACUAUGGCGACAUCAUCAUCAAUUCAGAAAUUGAUCUGAGGACCUCUUUACUGAGGAAUGUGGUUGUUCUACAUGAUUGUUUGUAUUUUCUAUGCUGCUGUGAUUUAUGUGUAAUUGUGAGUUGCAAAAGAGUCUUUGGUCUCAAUGGGCCUGGUAAAAUAAAUGAAGUAAAGGUCUUAAUAAACAUUCAUUAAGCA
ensembl:lncRNA